UACUUUAAGGGCACUGGGAUCCCCAUUC
rnacentral:piRNA from 1 species